AGUCUUCUUGCUUCUGUGUCUUCACGAGUAAUUUAUUGACAAUAUUAUCGAAAAGCGAAUAACCAGAAUUGAGUUUGCCGACAAAACAAAUAUAAAAAAUCACCAGAGAGACCUGAUCAAUUUGUUAACAUGGCCGAUUCUGACCCUAUCCUCAAUUAAAGUUGAUUAUGGACCCAUUAUCUCAUUUCAGUCAUUGCUUUGAAUUCGUUAUACUCAUUUUUGUUUCGAAAAUGAGUAUAUUUUAGACUUUCCGUUUAGUAUAUACACUUUUUUCUUGUUUUUUAGCAAAUAAUAUUCAUUUUUAUAAUUAUUUAUUAGUUUUUUUUUUUUCUUCAAUUAGUUUAGUUCUAUUGAAUAAUAGAAUAAAAGAUGGUAUAGAAAUUUUGCAUAAAAUGCAACAUAACACAAUUUCUUCCCAAAAACAUGUACUAAUAAAAAAAACAGAUGUAAUAAUAACGUAGAAUAUAAUCCACGCUACAUAAAUUUGUUUAAUACUUGUAAAAUCGUAAGAAGUAAUAGUCUAAUAUCGGUUUAUACUAUUUAAAUAGAAAAAAAACUAACUAUAAACUAUUCUAUGUUUUGUUGGCAAAAAAGUUGAAAAACUAUAAUAUUGGUUUAUUUUUCAAUAUGUUUAUAUUAAUUUGUGGUAUUUUACUGUGUUAAUGUUUUAUUUUUAGACUUAUAAUUUUCUAAUCUCCUAUAUCUUAAUGUUUUUAGUUUCAUUUAAAAUAAUCUACUCUUUUCUAUUGAUGAUAUGGUAUUAACUUUUAAAUAUUGGUUUAUAUCUUAAAUUAUAUCUAUGAUUUCUGCUAUAUUUUUGGAUCAAAUAACUUUCACAACAUAUCGGGUUCAAAACCCACUUACAUUUACAUAUGUAAUGUUAUCGACCAAAUAAUAAUAUUACUAAUACAUAUAAAAUCAUAUUCCCCAUCGGAUGACGGAGUAUUUGUUCAGCUAGAUCUCUGAUUAAUAAAGGACUAAUUAAAAGAGUCGGAUCUGGGACAUCCAUCUCGGUGUGGGAAGAUCCUUGGAUUCCAGCUCAAUUCCCGAGACCAGCAAAAAGUAAUGGUUCAGUUGCUGACCCAUCUUUAAAAGUUAAAGACCUUAUAGAUAAUCGGUCAAAUUUUUGGAAUAUUGAUCUCUUAAGAGCAAUCUUUAAUCUAGAAGAUGUCGCUCUAAUAAGCGUUAUACCUGUGGGUUCGCCAACAAAAGAAGAUUUUUUUUGUUGGCAUUUUACAAAAUCUGGAAAAUAUAAAGUCAAAUCGGGAUAUCAUUCUACACGGAUGGAAAAGUCGGAGACCAAUUUAAACUGUUUUGGCCCUAAUAUCAACCCGUUAAAAGCAUAUUCUUGGCAAGUGCAGUGUCCACCUAAGAUACGCCAUUUCAUAUGGCAAAUCUUAACGGGAUGUGUACCGGUUACGGAAAAGUUGCGGAAAAGGGAAUUGAUUGUGACACGGGUUGUGCCAGAUGUGGCGCAGCAGAGGAAACGAUCAAUCAUACACUCUUUCAGUGCCACCCGACACGGCAGAUUUGGGCGUUUUCACAGAUUCCUACGGCUAUGGGGGGUUUUCCCCACAGAAUCUAAUUUUACGAAUUUUGAUCACUUAUUUUGGAGAAUACCUACGGAAGUUGAUUCAUCAGCCUUCCCAUGGAUAAUUUGGUAUAUUUGGAAAUCAAGGAACGAAAAGAUCUUUGAAAACAUAGAUACAGACCCAUUAGAAGUAUUACGAUUAGCGGAAAAAAAGGCACAAUUGUGGUAGUCCGCUCAAAUUGAGCUUUAUCAUGAAAAUCAUGGUUUUGUGCACUUGGUAAAUCGAAUUCGAGUGAGGGAUGUUUCACUUGAGACGGAGUAUUCGGGAUACCGUUGUUUUGUGGAUGGAUCAUGGAAAGAAAGUGAUAAGUUCUCCGGUACAGGUUGGUUCUGUACAUCGUCAAAUGGAGAGCCGCCAACCAUGGGAGCUGCGAACCUCCGUAGAAGUCUAUCUCCACUACAUGCCGAAGUCGAGGCCCUUCUCUGGGCGAUGAAGUGUAUGAUUGGUGCAGAUAAUCAAGAGGUAGCGUUCUUUACACUGUUCAGACCUGGUGAAGAUGGUGUCUUCUCCAACCGAAUGGCCGGCGUUUUCAAUGUAUUUGGAGGAAUUUCAGAGCGACAAGGAGGAGUUUUCAUCUUUUUCUUUAUCUUUAAUUUCUCGUAAGGCUAAUGUUAAGGCGGAUAAUCUGGCACGAAAAGUUCAUACAGAACCGCUUCAUAUCACUUAUGUAAACAACAUUCCUCAAGAAUGAUUCUUUUGAGCUCUAAUUAAUUUCGGAUGACAAAAAAAAAAAAAAGAAGACCAAAUACUAGUAAUAAAAACAUGAGUUAUUUUUUAAGAGACAAGUUUAACUUUCUAAGCUCAACUUUAAAAAUUCACAUCUUACUUUACUACAAAUUUUCAUAAAUGCACUUAAAUAAUGUGAUAAAUUUUGUUCGCAUCUACGUAAUGGUACAUAUACUUUAUUUUCCAUUAAUUAAAUAGUUAGAAAGACAUUUUCAUCUUUUUGUGUUAAGUCUUAAACCAAAGUACACAUCCUGCUGCUUUUUGUAUUACAGAAAUAUAUAUUUCCAUAUAUAUUUCUGUAAUAUCUUAUAUUUAAAUAAAAAAAUCCGUUUAGGAUAGAUUUUCGGAAUAUAUCACGGUAACAAUGUUGAUAAGAAAAUUUGAAUUUUGGUGAACAAAAAUGGGAGCAAUUCAAUCACUAAGGGCAAAUGAAACAUCAUUCUCUGAAAUCUACGUAAGAGUUGAUAAUUAGUUGAUACAUUAACAUCGUGUUGUUAGAGUCCACCGAAAAAAAUCAGAAACAGAUGGUACAUAAAAAAAUAAACUUCACCUACUAGAUUUGACGCAAACAAAAACAAUUUUUUUGCAACUACGUUCUCGAUACUAAACUUUUAACCGGAGUCAGCGGUUCCGCCUUAAAUCCACGCCGAAAACAAAUCAAACCUAGAGCUUUCUUCUUUAAAAAGGGAAAUCCGCCACAAGUCAUACCCCAUCUCUCAACCCCCUACCUAGAUACGAACCCUCACCUCCGAUGCCGCUCACCCUCGAACCUCGCCCUAGGCUAACCAGUCUUCUGAUCCGGUGAAAAGAAUUCUAAUCACGGCGACAAAGAUGGACGAUGGCUCAAACAUACCACCAACCGUCGAAAUCCGAAACUAGCCAUGUAGGAUUCAGUCGGUUCCGCCGCUUAUUUUUUCACGCGUGGUGAUAAUAAGUCGCCCACUUGCAUCGUGCUCCAUAUCUACACGUUUCAUGACCACUGGAAAGCCACCGCUUCGCUGAACGAUCCACCCAAUGACGAUAAAAACGUUUAUACAAAAAGGAAAAAUGUUUAUCAGCUACACGAACGAGACGUCGUCACAUCGUCACACAUGCAGACUUUAAAAAUGUCUCGUUAGCUACACGAACUAUUGUUAUCACAUACGGACAUCCCCGAACUAACAUAAGUCAUGUUGCAAACACCAUAACCAUCUAAUUCCAGUGUACUGGUUGCCGGAAUCUGGCGUUGACCGACGUUGACCGGCGUUGACAAAAAAAUAUUUUCAAAAAAAAUAUUUUUUUUUUCGUUUUUUACCACAAAAUAAUAUUCAAACAACCGAGAAGAAAAAUAUAUUUUUUUUUGGUAAAAAAAUGAUUGCC
rnacentral:lncRNA from 1 species